GACGAACGCUGGCGGCGUGCUUAACACAUGCAAGUCGAACGGUGAAGCGCCUUCCUUUUUGGUGGGUGUGGAUGAGUGGCGAACGGGUGAGUAACACGUGAGUAACCUGCCCCCUUCUUCUGGAUAACCGCAUGAAAGUGUGGCUAAUACGGGAUAUUCUGGUUCUGUCGCAUGAUGGGUCUGGGAAAGAUAUUGUUUCGGUGGGGGAUGGGCUCGCGGCCUAUCAGCUUGUUGGUGGGGUGAUGGCCUACCAAGGCGGUGACGGGUAGCCGGCCUGAGAGGGUGGCCGGUCACAGUGGGACUGAGACACGGUCCAGACUCCUACGGGAGGCAGCAGUGGGGAAUAUUGCACAAUGGGCGCAAGCCUGAUGCAGCGACGCCGCGUGAGGGAUGGAGGCCUUCGGGUUGUGAACCUCUUUCGCCAGUGAAGCAGGCCUGCCUCGUUUGUGGGUGGGUUGACGGUAGCUGGAUAAGAAGCGCCGGCUAACUACGUG
rnacentral:rRNA from 1 species